UAUGUCUUCUCUUUUUUCCAUUAUUUCAUUUUCAGUUUGACGAUUUCUUCUUUCAAAACUUUUCCUUCUAAAUCGUUUCACUUUCUUUUUGUUUUGAAGCUUUCUUCCUUCCUUUCUUCAUCUCCUGGCGCUUUCUAAUUUGGUUCACGCAACCGAUCAUAUCUUCUUUGAUCUUUGGCAUACUCAGGAACCUCCAUUUCCAGAUGACUGACUGCCAUCCCCUAUCAACUCCUAUUUGAAUCGCUCUCCAGCAAGCUAUUGCUUCCGCCGCAAAUGCAGAGGGCACUCUCGAAAUAGGUGGUCCAUUGUUUCAGCUCUUGCUUCACAUCGGGGGCAGCUUGUACUAGUUGAUAGCUUCCUGUGUUGUAAAUUCACUUUUGUAGGCAAAAAGUUCCAUGAUAUUCUCCAUAUUGUAAUUUUUAUUUUUGUUGGUAGAUUCAGGCCCCAAAGUUUUUUGUAAAAUUUCCUAUAGAUAAAUUGUAACGCAUAAGCGCUAGGAUUUUUAUCUGAGCUCUGUAAUAGUUUAUAGGCACUUCGGACUGUGAACUCACCCAACAAUUCACCUCCCCAAAUGAGGAAAUCCUCAUGAGGCGUUCGUGCCAGAGGGAUUCGAAGGAUUCUUACAGCGUCUUCUCCUGUGAAGGUUAGGGUGUUACAACUAGAGAUCCACUUGACGACUCCCAUGAUUUCCUAAUCUUUUCUUCAAUCGACUCCUCUGCAGUCCACCAUGCCUCAAAUUUAAAUCUUGGAGUUCCUUUGAUACUAUCAGCAUUGGUUGUGCUAAUGAAAAGAGGGCAAUGAUCAGAAAGUGAAGACGUUAAGUGAUGUAUAUUGCCUCUUGGGAAAAGUUUCAUCCAUUUUUCAUUUGCAACACCCCUAUCCAGUCUUUCUCUAAUAUUUGUACUUGGUAGAUUCCCUCUCUCCCACGUAUACCAUACUCUCGUAUAACCCACAUCAAUAAGUUGACAUUCUUCUAGUACUUCGCAGAAUGCUUCCAUCCUUUUCUCCUCCCUCGGCUGACCUCCCUUUUUUUUUCAAAAGAAUACAUUAUUUCAUUAAAAUCGCCACAAACUAGCCAAGGAUAGUAUUGUUCCUUCCCCAAGGUUCUUAAUAAAUUCCAUGAAGUAGUUUUAUUAUGUAUGUAAGGUGACCCAUAAAACCCUGUGAAUCUCUAUUCUGUAUUACCGUCAUCUUCUUUGAUCAAUGCAUCAAUAUGACUAGUUGAAAAAGUUUUAAGACUAA